UAUACUGCUACUGUCAUGCAGAUUUUAAAUACUAAUUUUUUAUUUACUUGUAUUUUUCUCUUUACAUGUUCUCCUGGCCUUUGGGAAGACACUCUUCUUAAAAGUUACUUACCAGUAAAAUAUAAAAAAUCACAAUGGAAACAACUCGGAAGAAGAGUUAGGAGAUUAGAACAUUCACUUAAGGGACUACAGGAAAAAUUAUCAGAAAGAAGAAAAACUAAAUCCCCACUAAGGCAUCAAAAAGUGAAAUGUGAUAGAGAACUCUAUGGAGACAGAUUGGAAGGUGAAAAACAAAGUAGAGAGAGACUACAGACAGAAAUUAAUUACCCUAAUUACCCUACCUGUGCAAAUUCUGCCACAUUUCAUCAGGAAUCUCAGACAAUAAAACUAAACUUUCAGCAAGCACGAGACCAGUGGCUUCUUUUAAAGAACCAACUAAUAGAGAAGAUUGACAAACUGUCAAGUCAGCUUUCUAAAGUUGAAAAGGAGAAAAACCAACUAUGUGAAACCCUUAAAAUGACAACAUUAAUAUUAGAAGAAACACAGAGAAAAUUAAAGAAGAACAAGGAUAAAAUAAAAGAACUUAAAUACAAAAAUCAUAUACUAAAGAAAAAAUCAAACAGAUCAUUUUUCACAAAAGAGUCCAGGCAAGAAUUAACCCAAAUGCCAAGGGAAAUUCAUGUGCUUCAACAACCAUUUGAAGAUGCCCAAAAUGAAGGGGUCUUCAAAAUACAGGUAUCCGAUGAUAUCCAGGUGAAGUUUAACGAUCGUUCCAAUACUCUUAUUGCUAGCAUUAAAAAACAAGAUCAUGUGGAAAAAGAGAGAAAAAAGAAAGAGGAAGAAGAGUCAGCUGAUGAAUAUUUGCAUAUAAUGGAACAAAUAUAUAAAAAUGAACAGGCAAGAGAAGAGGUAGGUCUAAUAUCUAAUAAAUAAUAUCAUCACCAACAUUUAACAUUUUGAAAUGAAAUUUCUAAGGUAUUUUGAUCAAGAUAAAUUAGGAAUUUGAAUUUUUAGCAAGUUUCUGAUAUUAGUAAUUUUCAAGGUAAAAAUUCUGAUAUGCAAGAAAGAAUGAGGAAACAUCCAUGAUAAAACUCAACCCAAUAUCCAUUUUUAGAUAAGAUGACUCAUUAUGAUUAAAAAGUAUUGUGUAGAUAGCCCAUGAAAGUUUAAAUGAACGGUAUUGGUUAAUGAAUGUAGGUAGAGUUAAGCAUUUUAAGUAAAUAUUGAUAAAUUUGUAGUUCUAAUAAUUUGCCUGGUAUUCCAUUUAAUGCUACAAAUGGAAUAAAUAUUAGAAAUGCUGAAACAAGAUAAAUCCUGAAAAAUUAUGUGAGGAGAAAUGUAACAAUUCAAAUAAAUUAGUCAUGCAAAUUGAGAUCCUGUAGGGCAUUAUAAUUACCUUUUCCAUACCUAUUAAAACAUGUUUGUCAAUCUAACUAGUUUUAAUUCAAACUACUGUGAACUGAUUUUAGAAAUAUUAAACAGCUGAUCAUAUUUUUAGUGAAAUUACAAAGAUUAGUAACUACUUUUAUUUAAAAUUUAGGACAAUAAAGAAAAAAUAAUUUUUUUGUUUGGUAACAAAGCCAUU
ensembl:lncRNA